rnacentral:rRNA from 1 species
UAGGGAAUCUUCCACAAUGGGCGAAAGCCUGAUGGAGCAACGCCGCGUGUGUGAUGAAGGGAUUCGGCUCGUAAAACACUGUUGCAAGAGAAGAAUGACAUUGAGAGUAACUGUUCAAUGUGUGACGGUAUCUUACCAGAAAGGAACGGCUAAAUACGUGCCAG